UACGGAGGAUGCGAGCGUUAUCCGGAUUUAUUGGGUUUAAAGGGUGCGUGGGCGGAUUUUUAAGUCAGCGGUAAAAUGUCCGGGCUCAACCCGGGCCGGCCGUUGAAACUGGGGAUCUUGAGUGGGCGAGAAGUAUGCGGAAUGCGUGGUGUAGCGGUGAAAUGCAUAGAUAUCACGCAGAACUCCGAUUGCGAAGGCAGCAUACCGGCGCCCGACUGACGCUGAGGCACGAAAGCGUGGGGAUCGAACAGG
rnacentral:rRNA from 1 species